ACUCCUACGGGAGGCAGCAGUGGGGAAUAUUGGACAAUGGGGGAAACCCUGAUCCAGCCAUGCCGCGUGAGUGAUGAAGGCCUUAGGGUUGUAAAGCUCUUUUGUCAGGGAAGAUGAUGACGGUACCUGAAGAAUAAGCACCGGCUAACUUCGUGCCAGCAGCCGCGGUAAUACGAAGGGUGCUAGCGUUGUUCGGAAUCACUGGGCGUAAAGCGUGCGUAGGCGGCUAUUCAAGUCAGGGGUGAAAUCCUGAGGCUCAACCUCAGAAUUGCCUUUGAAACUGUGUAGCUAGAGUAUGGGAGGGGAGUGCGGAAUUCCUAAUGUAGAGGUGAAAUUCGUAGAUAUUAGGAGGAACACCGGUGGCGAAGGCGGCACUCUGGACCAUAACUGACGCUCUGGCACGAAAGCGUGGGUAUCAAACAGGAUUAGAUACCCUGGUAGUCCACGCUGUAAACGAUGGAUAUUAGCCGUUGGGGGGUUCCCCUUCAGUGGCGUAGCUAACGCGUUAAAUAUCCCGCCUGGGGAGUACGGUCGCAAGAUUAAAACUCAAAUGAAUUGACGG
rnacentral:rRNA from 1 species